CCCCUCUCAGGAUCGCACCUGGAGAGUUUCCAGUACUCUACCAGUCUCGGCUAUGGGAGGGAGAGUCAGGCAAAGGCCUUUCCAUUCCUAGCUUGAGCAGAGGCUAGCCAGUGGAAGGCAAUCUUCUACAAGU